rnacentral:rRNA from 1 species
AUUGUUGAAUCAGUUUAUUCUGAAAUGUAAUUUUUAUUAAUUUUAUUUAUUUUAUAUUAUUUAUCUAAAAUAUUAUUUUUUUAUUAGUUUUACGAAAUAAUUUUUAUUAAUUAUAGUUUAUUUGUAUGGUGAAAGAAUAUUUUUUAUUUUGCAAAAGAAGAAUUAAUUUUUCGUACCUUGUGUAUCAGGGUUGAUUAAAUUGUUUAUAAAAAUUUAUGGAUCUCGAAUCUAAAAGGGCUAAGAUUUUAUUUUUUGGAUGUUUCAUAAUCUUUAAAAAUUAAAUUUUAGUAAUGAAAUGUUAUUCGUUUUUUGAUAUAUCUAGUUUUUUGAGAAAUAAAUUUAAUUUAUUUAUUUUUAAAAUUUUUUUAAAUUGUUAAUUUGAUUUUGAAAAUAUUUAAUUUUUUUAGGGAAAAGCUUGAGGAAAUAAAUUUAUUUAAUUUGGAUGAAAAAUUUAUAAGUAGGAUUGUAAAUUUCUAUCUUUUAUAUAAUGUUAUAGUUUUUUUAUUUUAUAUUAUUAUUUAUAUAAUUAAUAAAUUUAAUAUCAAAAUUUUGAAUUUAACUUAAUAGUUCAAGGAAUAAUGAUUAAAUAAGUAUAUUUUUAUGUAUUUUUAAUUUUAAAUUUAAGAUAUAAAUAAUGAAUUCGGCAAUGUGAAUUUUCCACCUGUUUAUUAAAAACAUGUUUUUUUGUUAAUUAUAUAAAGUCGGGCCUGCUCAAUGAUGAAUUAAAUAGCUGCAGUAUUUUGACUGUACUAAGGUAGCAUAAUCAUUAGUUUUUUGAUUGAGAACUGGAAUGAAAGGUUUGAUGAGAAAAUGACUGUCUCAUUUAUAAAAAUAGAAAUUUAUUUUUAAGUUAAAAAGCUUAAAUCUAAUUAAAAGACGAGAAGACCCUAUAGAGUUUAAUAAUUUGUUUAUUUAUAUUGUAAAGGAAAAAAUUUAUUUAAAUAAGUUUAAUUAUUUGGUUGGGGUGAUUAAAAAAUUAAUUAAACUUUUAUAUAAUAUUAUUCUUAUAAGAGGUUUAAAUGAUCCACAUUAUGGUGAUUAUAAGAAUAAAUUACCUUAGGGAUAACAGCGUUAUCUUUUUUUAGAGUUCUAAUCGAUAAAAAGGAUUGCGACCUCGAUGUUGGAUUAAAAUUUACUUUUCGGUGCAAAAGCCAAAUAGUUUGGUCUGUUCGACCUUUAAAAUUUUACAUGAUCUGAGUUUAGACCGGCGUGAGCCAGGUUGGUUUCUAUCUUUAUUAUAUUUAAGAAUCUUAGUACGAAAGGACCAGAUUUUUGAUUAAAAAUUUAAAUUUUGAAUAUUAUUAAAAAAUUAUUUUGGCAGAUUAGUGCAAUGGAUUUAGAAUCUUUAAAUAUAGAUUAAACUAUAA